GAAAAUCCCCAAAUCGAAUCGACCCGCUUCCAUUGUCGGCCAGGAUCCUCCGCUGCCGCGGCCCUUCAAUCGAAGGCGACCACCGCCCCUCCCUUGCUAGGAAAUAGCUUUCUCCCCCCAAAUUCCUUCCAGCGCCUCUGGCAGCGCGACUCGCUUUGCGAGCUCCGGCCGUUGUGCCGUUCGGCCGGUCUUCCGUCUCCGGCCGCCCGUGACGCCACGCCUAAGCAUGAGUCUCUAUGAUGGAGCGAUGUGGGACUAAAAUCUAGCAUCGAUGCCUGGUUCGAUCGUUCGGGCGGAACAAAGCUCACACCCAGCCAUACAUAAAACAAGAAAAUGGGCUGGCCCAGGCUGCGGAAUAGACAUAUCGAUCCAACGAUCUGAGGCGUGGAGGCCCUCCGAUCUAGGAUCUAAAAGAGCACUUCUGUUCGGCAGCAGAGGUCGUUCGAGGAGAGAAAGCAGAGGUCGUUCGGCGAUCUGGGAAAGUUCGGACCGCUCGCAGAUCUGCUCGUUCCCGAAUCCCGACCGCACGCGAGCAGACGCCAGCGGCUCCAGCAGGAAGCGGUCUCGUACGAUCGGGUAGGUGAGAAGGAAAAGAACGAACCGGUAUGAUGGCAAAACUGCUGUAUUAUGCGGUUUGGUGGGAGGGUAAAACCGUCCAAAAAAAUGUUGGACGAAAUUUUUGGCAGAAACCUUAGCUCCUUUAAGUGCUCGUGCGUUGCACCGGGAGAAAGAAAUAUAUUGUACGGACAGUACUGCAUCA